rnacentral:lncRNA from 1 species
GGAAAGCCUUAAAAUGCUGAAUUGAAAGUAAUAGAUGAAGGAGUCAAAAUGACUCCUUUGCUUCUGCUGUAUGUGUCUUGGAAAUGGAUUUUUCUAUGAAGUCUGUGGAAGCUUGUUACCAUGUUAAAUGCCCAGCUUUCAUUAAAUCUACACCUGAAGGAAACAUGGAAGAGGUCUUUUCCAACUGCAGUAUGAAAUCUCUAGCAGCUCAGGUGUAUGUGUUUACUAUGAAUUGAACUCAAAGCUCUUAAGUAAUGCUGUGUGUUUAGCCUGUUUACUCCCCAAAGUAGCUGGAGAAUUAUCUGUGCAUUUUCCACAUUGUUUUCAGUGUGCUGCUUUGUUUGAUGGUGGCUUAUUAAUGAUACUUGUGAUUUAUUACUGUCACUUUAUUAGAUUAUUUGCAAAUCGGUGACAAAGCACUAUGUGGAUCAUGCCUUGUUAGUCAUAAAAGCACUCAAGAAGCCAUGAAAAUCAGUUAAGCUUGAACCUAUUGAAUGAAGGAGCAUAGUGCUCUCUAUUGAUCAGGAGCCUUUAGAUAUGUAAUGAAUAGUAGUACCUUUGUAGCACUGUCAGAUAGUGUUUUCCUUUGGAUCUGAUAAAUUACACUCUUUUGUACUAGUGGCUUGAGAUUUGGCAUAAAACAUUCUUGUAUUAGUAUUUCUUUCAGCUCCAGUACUGGGGUGAUCUUACAUGACCGAGGCAGAUAAAUGUUAGAAGAAAAAUUGAUAUUUGCUCUCCCAACAUAGUGUUGACCAUUGAAUUAACGCUGAUCUGACUUUCAUAUGUGGCAGGAGACUGAGGGCUUGAUUGCAAAUGAUUAGCAGAACAUUUUUAUAGCCUGUGUACAUGAUGCAUACAGUCUCUCUCAUAUGACUAUACAGAUGCAUGUUUGGAUUGUAGCUAAUUUCUUUAUAAAUACAGAUUUAUUUAUGAACUUCUUAUUGAAUGGGC